rnacentral:rRNA from 1 species
UCAGGUGGUUAUUGCGGCGGGGUCCCACCUCUUCCCAUUCCGAACAGAGAAGUUAAGCCCGCCUGCGCCGAUGGUAC